rnacentral:rRNA from 1 species
GGACUACAAGGGUAUCUAAUCCUGUUUGCUCCCCACGCUUUCGCGUCUCAGCGUCAGUCAUUGUCCAGAAGGCCGCCUUCGCCACCGGUGUUCCUCUCGAUAUCUACGAAUUUCACCUCUACACCGAGAAUUCCGCCUUCCUCUCCAAGACUCAAGCUCAGAAGUCUCGAAUGCACUUCCUAGGUUGAGCCCAGGGCUUUCACAUCCGACUUUCCGAGCAGCCUACACGCGCUUUACGCCCAGUAAUUCCGAACAACGUUUGCACCCUCUGUCUUACCGCGGCUGCUGGCAC